AGAACAGCUGGGCAGCCUCAUGUCCCCGACUACGCUUACGAAGAGGGUGUGUUCCUGACUUCUGGAAGGAAGACUCGGCCAUAGCAAAGAAAAGGACAGAAGGUUGAAUUCUACUUUUGUAAACACAUGAAAAAUUACGGUCAAAUCUUGUCAGAAAUACUCCUAAGUUAUUUAAUGUCAAUCCACACGUAACCAGAUAUUUUCACCUUGUCAAUAAUAAAUUCUUUGUUUCCUAAACGCUGUUGUCCGGCCUCCUUACUUUCCCCACAUUCACUCAUGGGAGAGAGCUAUAUAAUAAUACAAGACCAUUUCGGGUUUGCUCUUGACUCAUUCUAAGCGCGUAUCAAGUUAUUUUAAUGCAGAAUUUUCAUUCCUUUUAUUCUUGGUGAUAAUUUCCAAGAUCUUAUUUGACAGUGAUGGAGUGGCCGGUGGCGGUUGUUAAAAUGGAAAGGGCACUUUGUGCCUUCGGUGUUUCCUCUGUGCUCUGAGGAGGUUCCGUGAAGAAGGAUUUGUCACGGGAAGCCCCAGAAGAGCUGGAAUUCGCUACACAGACAAUGCCUUCCUCGCCUUGGCUUUAGAAACCUGAAUUAAGUUGGUACCAAAAAGAAAAAGUGUUUAUCUUGAACAAGAAGCCAGUCUACUUUAAUACGAUUUCAGCUCUGCAGCUGCGUUUCAAACACAAGAAGAGAAAGCUUGCUGGGGCUGCCGGCACGAGGCUGCAACGCCGACCAAAAGCCUGCCCUGUCCCGGUACUGCCGACGUCGUACAGAGGACCGCUUGGUGCCGUCUUUACGAUCUGCUCUCAUCAGCCACUCUCAAAUGACAACCUCGGAACCAUCUGAAUUAAAAGUAUGUGCACUUAACGGAGAUUCAAGACCCACGGAGCGAACAAGCCCACACUCGGAGUCAGGAGACUCGCACACCCUUCCUAGAUUCAGCUGGCUGAUAACUCUCUCUGGUGAGAGAGCCAGUAAACAAAAAUUCAGCAGCGACACAGAAGGUUCGACGCCAUCUGCCAGUGCGACCCGACAUUACAGAGCGCUGCACCCCACAGCAGCUGAGCACCCCUUCUUUUCAAGCGCACAUCGUGUUCAUCAAGCUAGAUCACACGCUGGGCCAUAAAGUAAGUGUGAAAAGAUUGAAAUCUUACAGAAUAUGUCCUCGGACCACACCAAACUUAACUUAGAAAUCAACAGCAACAGGGGCGCCUGGGUGGCACAGCGGUUAAGCGUCUGCCUUCGGCUCAGGGCGUGAUCCCGGCGUUAUGGGAUCGAGCCCCACAUCAGGCUCCUCUGUGGGCCUGCUUCUUCCUCUCCCACUCCCCCUGCUUGUGUUCCCUCUCUCGCUGGCUGUCUCUAUCCUGUCAAAUAAAUAAAUAAAUAAAAUCUUAAAAAAAAAAACA
rnacentral:lncRNA from 1 species